ACGGAGGGUGCAAGCGUUAUCCGGAUUUAUUGGGUUUAAAGGGUGCGUAGGCGGGUUUGUAAGUCAGUGGUGAAAGCCUUCAGCUUAACUGGAGAAUUGCCAUUGAUACUGCAGACCUUGAAUUCGGUUGAAGUGGGCGGAAUGUGUGGUGUAGCGGUGAAAUGCAUAGAUAUCACACAGAACACCAAUUGCGAAGGCAGCUCACUAAGCCGAUAUUGACGCUGAGGCACGAAAGCGUGGGGAGCGAACAGG
rnacentral:rRNA from 1 species